rnacentral:rRNA from 1 species
UACGUAGGGGGCGAGCGUUGUCCGGAGUUACUGGGCGUAAAGCGCACGCAGGCGGUCUGCUAAGUUUGGAGUGACAGUUGGUGGCUUAACUGCCAAAGUGCUUCGAAAACUGACAGACUUGAGGGCUUCAGAGGGACACGGAAUUCCGGGUGGAGUGGUGAAAUGCGUAGAGAUCCGGAGGAACACCAAAGGCGAAGGCAGUGUCCUGGGGAGUACCUGACGCUGAGGCGCGAAAGCUAGGGGAGCAAACGGG